rnacentral:rRNA from 1 species
GACGUAGGUGGCGAACGUUAUCCGGAAUUAUUGGGCGUAAAGGGUGCGUAGGCGGCAUGAUAAGUUAUUGGCGGGAAAUCGAGGCUCAACCUCGUGGAAACUAAUAAUACUGUUUUGCUUGAGUACAGGAGAGGUUAACGGAACUCCAUGUGGAGCGGUAAAAUGUGUAGAUAUAUGGAAGAACAUCAAUAACGGCGAAGGCAGUUAACUACUCUGUUACCGACGUUGAGGCACGAAAGCGUGGGGAGCAAAACGG